GUGCGAAUGCUGACAUGAGUAACGAUAAUGGGAGUGAAAAACUCCCACGCCGGAAGACCAAGGUUUCCUGUCCCAUGCUAAUCAGGGCAGGGUAAGUCGGCCCCUAAGGCGAGGCAGAAAUGCGUAGUCGAUGGGAAACGGAUUAAUAUUUCCGUACUUGGUAUAUCAGUGAUGGGGGGACGGAGAAGGUUAUGCAAGCAUAGCGUUGGUUGUCUAUGUGAAAGUGUGUAGGGUUGAAGUUUAGGUAAAUCCGGACUUCUACAUGCCUGAGACACGAGACGAGAUUCUACGGAAUUGAAGUUGCAAAUACCCUGCUUCCAGGAAAAGCCUCUAAACUUAUGAUAUAUCGAACCGUACCCCAAACCGACACAGGUGGUCAGGUAGAGAAUACUAAGGCGCUUGAGAGAACUCGGGUGAAGGAACUCGGCAAAAUUGUACCGUAACUUCGGGAGAAGGUACGCCCUUGUUUGUGAUAGGACUUGCUCCUUGAGCAGAUGAGGGCCGCAGUGACCAGGUGGCUGGGACUGUUUAUUAAAAACACAGCACUCUGCUAACUCGCAAGAGGACGUAUAGGGUGUGACACCUGCCCGGUGCCGGAAGGUUAAUUGAUGGGGUUAUCUUCGGAGAAGCUCUUGAUCGAAGCCCCGGUAAACGGCGGCCGUAACUAUAACGGUCCUAAGGUAGCGAAAUUCCUUGUCGGGUAAGUUCCGACCUGCACGAAUGGUGUAACCAUGGCCACGCUGUCUCCACCCGAGACUCAGUGAAAUUGAAAUCGCAGUGAAGAUGCUGUGUACCCGCACCUAGACGGAAAGACCCCGUGAACCUUUACUACAGCUUGGCACUGAACAUUGAACCUACAUGUGUAGGAUAGGUGGGAGGCUUCGAAGCACAGUCGCUAGAUUGUGUGGAGCCGUCCUUGAAAUACCACCCUUGUAUGUUUGAUGUUCUAACAUUGGUCCCUUAUCGGGAUUAUGGACAGUGUCUGGUGGGUAGUUUGACUGGGGCGGUCUCCUCCCAAAUAGUAACGGAGGAGCACGAAGGUUAGCUAAUCACGGUCGGACAUCGUGAGGUUAGUGCAAUGGCAUAAGCUAGCUUAACUGCGAGACAGACACGUCGAGCAGGUACGAAAGUAGGUCAUAGUGAUC
rnacentral:rRNA from 1 species